rnacentral:tRNA from 1 species
AACGCCGGGCGCGGGUUGUCGGCGCCCGACCUCGACGGCCGGAUGGUCGACGUCUCCGGCGGCGCCGCGUUCGUGCUGUGCCGGCGGGCGUUCC